rnacentral:rRNA from 1 species
AUGGUUCUCGUCGUGCUCGCCGCCCUAUCCUAUGGCCUCCCUGCCACCCGCAGCGGCAUCGACUUCAUCGCCCGCACAUGCAAGAAGACCACUAACCCUGCGUUGUGCGUGGCUAUGCUAAGCGCUGACCCAAAGAGCGGCCACGCGUCCACUGAGCAUGACCUCGCCAGCGUGGCUCUGCAAAUCGCCACCAACACCGCCAAGAAGAACGCCGCGAUCAUCUGCGACCUAGGUGGCAGUACAUGCGAGAACGCGUUUAAGGGGAUCCACAAAAAAUCACCCAUGGCCGACAUGGAUCGCGAGACGAUGGAGCGAUGCGGUGUCGCCGGUGACCUCAUCGGCCUGCUCGUCGCCAAGUGA